AACUAACGCUUUAUAAGUAUCAGUUUCUGUAGUUUAUUGGUAUGAGAAGCUUCCGGAACAAUCGUUCUGGCUACAUUUUGGACUGUGGGGCGGAGCCCUGCG
rnacentral:misc_RNA from 1 species